UACGGGGGGAGCAAGCGUUGUUCGGAUUUACUGGGCGUAAAGGGCGCGUAGGCGGCGCAACAAGUCACUUGUGAAAUCUCCGGGCUUAACCCGGAGCGGUCAAGUGAUACUGUCGUGCUGGAGUGCGGAAGGGGCUACUGGAAUUCUCGGUGUAGCGGUGAAAUGCGUAGAUAUCGAGAGGAACACCUGCGGCGAAGGCGGGUAGCUGGGCCGACACUGACGCUGAUGCGCGAAAGCCAGGGGAGCGAACGGG
rnacentral:rRNA from 1 species